UCCGGGCUUAACCCGGAGAUGUCGUUCAAUACUGCGGGGCUUGAGGACAGCAGAGGAAGGUGGAAUUCCCGGUGUAGUGGUGAAAUGCGUAGAUAUCGGGAGGUACACCCGUGGCGAUAGACGGCCUUCUGGGCUGUUCCUGACGCUGAAGGCGAAAGAUAGGGGACCGUACGGGAUUAGAUACCCCGGUAGUCCUAGCUGUAAACGAUGGAUGCUGGGUCUGGGGGCUGUAAAUUCCCUCUGUGCCGAAGCAAACGCGUUAAGCAUCCCGCCUGGGGACUACGGCCGCAAGGCUAUAACUCAAACGAAUUGACGGGGGCCCGCACAAGCAGCGGAGCGUGUGGUUUAAUUCGAUGCUACUCGAAGAACCUUACCUGGGUUUGACAUGCACGUGGUAGGGAACCGAAAGGGGACCGACCUUCGGGAGCGUGCACAGGUGAUGCAUGGCUGUCGUCAGCUCGUGCCGUGAGGUGUCGGGUUAAGUCCAGUAACGAGCGCAACCAUUGCCGUUAGUUACAAGUGUCUAAGGGGACUGCCCGGGACAACUGGGAGGAAGCUGGGGAUGACGUCAAGUCAGCAUGGC
rnacentral:rRNA from 1 species